GGCAGGGGACCAACCAAGAUGACUCGAGGUAGGGCCUAAAAGUAGAGGUGAUAAUUCUUAAAUAUUUAUUGUGUUCAAUUUGGUUAAAUCUAUCAUAAAGUUACUUGUUUAAUGCAUUGUGCAAGUCCAAAUUUGAUUUUUGACUGGUUUAAUAGAAAGAUUGGAUUUGGGUUGGCAGAUUUUUGACCUAAUCCUCUAUCCGACCCAACAU
rnacentral:lncRNA from 1 species